rnacentral:rRNA from 1 species
UAGGGAAUCUUCGGCAAUGGGGGGAACCCUGACCGAGCAACGCCGCGUGAGUGAAGAAGGUGUUCGGAUCGUAAAGCUCUGUUGUUAAGGAAGAACGAGUGUGAGAAUGGAAAGUUCAUACUGUGACGGUACUUAACCAGAAAGGGACGGCUAACUACGUGCCAGCAGCCGCGGUAAUACGUAGGUCCCGAGCGUUGUCCGGAUUUAUUGGGCGUAAAGCGAGCGCAGGCGGUUAGAUAAGUCUGAAGUUAAAGGCAGUGGCUCAACCAUUGUAGGCUUUGGAAACUGUUUAACUUGAGUGCAGAAGGGGAGAGUGGAAUUCCAUGUGUAGCGGUGAAAUGCGUAGAUAUAUGGAGGAACACCGGUGGCGAAAGCGGCUCUCUGGUCUGUACCUGACGCUGAGGCUCGAAAGCGUGGGGAGCGAACAGG